CUCGAGAUCUACAUUUUCGACAAAGGCCUGGUGUAAUAUUACGUACUUGAUGAAGGUUUAAUGACAUGAAUGAGUACAAGUACAUUACAUUUUUCGACGAAGGCCUUCUGUAAUUUCAUACGCUUCUUACGCAACAUUCAAUAGAUUUAUUAACUGUAUUAUCAUUUCGACCAAGGCGAAUUCGACACUUCAAUUACACAAGGUUAGUAACUUUUGUUCACAAAAUCCAAAUGGAGGCAAAUACAGAACAAUCAAACUUAGUCAUUCCAGUCAGUUACUAAAGCACAGUGAAAACUGUCGGGAGCAGUGCAACUUAUGGCAUGUCAAACUUCCAGUGACUGUCCCUGUCCAUAUAUUUCAAGACAGUACAAAUCUUGUAAUCAUUUUGUUUAUGCAAUGUACGUUAUUAUGUAUCAUUUCAGCACAAUCAAACUUAGUCAUUCCAGUCAGUUACUGAAGCACAGCGAAAACUGUCUGAAUUAGUGCUGCUGAUGGCAUGUAAUUACUCUACUACCACUACCAGUGACAGUCAAUGUCCAUAUAUUUUCAAGUGUGCGAAAUUAGUACUCGUCUAAUUCUUACUGUUAUUUGAAUGCAAUGUAUGUUAUAAAAAUAUUUUUUCAACACUAUAUCAACAUUCUCAUUCCUGUCAGUUUCUGAAAAUCAGCUAAAGCAAUCGCUACCAAUGCAGCUGAUAACAGCAAUUCUUUUUGUUCCCAAUGCCCAUCCAUGACAAUAUAUUUCACGCAUGUGACAAUCAUGUAAUCAUCCUGUUUUUUGUGUUCUAUUCAUGCAAUAAAUAAAUUCAGUAUUUUCAAAUCAUUGGUGCUACAAAACUAUUCUCAUUAUAGAUUAUUCAUAUUUUAUAAAAUGCUGUCAUGUCAAAUUUUGUGUCCUAUAAAUCAUUAUGAAGUCGGCAUUUUAUAUACAACUUUUGUACUCCUCCAAAAUAAACAUACAAAUCUUGUUUUAUGUAAACUUUGUAUAUGUGACCCGUCACAGCAAAACCAGGCGCAUGUCGUUCUGAGCUUGGCAGGUUGAGACGGACUGUUUGUUCAUUUAUCUAUUGUCUGCCUUUUGUAAAAUAUGAGCACAUCAAUUUCUUCCAUUAUCUCCUGGUGUCAUUUAGGCUCAUCUUCUGUGCGACAUGUACCUGGUUUUGCUGUGACGGGUCACAUAUUCUAUAGAUAUACAACACUCUAAUGUCACAAUCAAUGCCUCUCUCACUCGCUUUUAUAUAGCAAGAUGUAUGAAUAAACAUGACACACCAACUAUGUAUAAAAUUGCUAACAAACUGCACCAUUUGUCAGUACACCACAUGAAAUACAGAGAUAUGUCUUAAUUCUAAUCUUUCAUUAGCGACACCAUUUCUUACCCGAGUGCCUCCUUCAUUCAU